AACGAACGCUGGCGGCAGGCUUAACACAUGCAAGUGGAACGCAUCGCAAGAUGAGUGGCAGACGGGUGAGUAACGCGUGGGAACAUACCCUUUUCUGCGGGAUAGCUCUGAGACACUGGAAUUAAUACCGUAUACGCCCUACGGGGGAAGGAUUUAUGGGGGAAGGAUGGGCCGGCGUUGGAUUAGCUAGUUGGUGGGGUAAAGGCCUACCAAGGCGACGAUCCCUAGCUGGUCUGAGAGGAUGAGCGGCCACAUUGGGACUGAGACACGGCGCAAACUCGUACGGGAGGCAGCAGUGGGGAAGAUAGGACAAUGGGCGCGAGCCUGGUCCAGCCAUGCCGCGUGAGUGAUGAAGGCCUUAGGGUUGUAAAGCUCUUUCACCGAUGAAGAUAAUGACGGGAGUCGGAGAAGAAGCCCCGGCUAACUACGUGCCAGCAGCCGCAGUAACAC
rnacentral:rRNA from 1 species